UCUCCGUUGGUGAACCAGCGGAGGGAUCAUUGAUGAAUGUCGCAAGACCUUCUAACCCUUUGUGAACUUAUAACUUUUCGUUGCCUCGGCGCGGCCGGAGACGCACGUCUCCCCUCCGGAAGGAGGAGCAGGCCCGCCGGCGGCCCCCCAAACCAUGUCUGUAUAGUGAUACUCUGAGGAUACACAAAUGAAUCAAAACUUUCAACAACGGAUCUCUUGGCUCUGGCAUCGAUGAAGAACGCAGC
rnacentral:misc_RNA from 1 species